CGGCGAGCAGCCAUUCCCCUACGAGAAGAAGGUGAGGAGGACACGCCCCUGCGUCAAGAGAUCCGUCAAGAGAUGCUCGCGCCGCGAGAGGAAUCCACAUCUGCUCCUGCUGCUCGACUGAUUCCAGAUCGAGGGACGCCUGCUUCUGCUCGCUACGGACGGCGCCCGCUGGUCAUGUCUCCUUCCUUCAUCCUUCAUCUGCAAAACAUGCCAAGAAAGACGAAUUUAUUCACCUGCAUUUUUCUCGGUCAUUUUGGGCGCAGAAGUAGACUCAGCGAACAUUAUGUCGUGGACGAACUGUUGGUGGCUCAGUCUGAUUGACACAAGAAAGGGGCAAGACCAGCUCCAUGUUCCUCUAGCAGAACUGGACCACCAAUCGUUAUAGUUCUGGUCUCAGGAAGCAGGAUGAAUUGGUCCAUCAACGAACACUUUUGCUGCAGAUCUUGGCAGGAGCCUAUGUGAUGUGUACCUGUGUUGGUGCCUUUACAGAAGAUCCAUUAUGCCUCCCUUUCGGUAAGCAUGACAAGCUUUUACUUGUACCCUGAGACAUGGUGUGGAUUCUGUCAAUAUUAGGUUCUCAGCUACAUGGAAGUGAUAGUAUAUUUUAGUUCUCCAUGCUUAUUAUCAUUCUUGACAAUUUUAUAUUUGCAGUUAGAAAUUUUCAGUUCUCCACCCAUGGUAACUAUCAAUAUAUAACUCCAGUUCAUGUUCUUCUAAUUAUACAUGAGGGUAUGAAAAAUCCACACUCUUAUACAUUACUACUACUUUACUUCAUAUAUGUGUCUUGAUAAAUAUGUGAAGGACGCGAGGUGUCACUGAUGAGACCUUUGUGUUGGCCGGUGAUCAUGGGCAACGUUAUAUAGUUAGUUUGAUAUGUUAUAUGGUCCAGCUAGGUUCGAAGGAAGGGGAUCUUUGGAUCAGUCCCAUAUUCAUGUUAGUUUUAUAACAGAUCGGUGAAAAUUACUUCUGUGUGUUGUUGCUUCAAGUUGAAUUUUGGUCACUUGUUUUAAGGUCUACCCCGCCGUCAUUUCUAUAAAAAUAAACAACUUCUUUAUUUAUAGUCGACUGCCAUUUUUCCUUUUGGCUAUGUGUUGGUCGCCCCUCAUCUGCGGCUGCUCGUGGGCGCUCCUGCAAUGCCGCGGGUAAAACUGGUGGUGGCCAUGGCAUUGCGAGCGCUCUGCCUCUUGCGGUGACUUUGUAGAAUACAAGUCAAGUUUAAAGCUUUCGACCGCGACGGCUGAAAAACCAAAGUAAAUGCAUCAUAUAUAUUCUAAUAGAUGCAUGCGAAUCAUAGAAAAUAUGGUAAGCAACUAUCCUACAAUUUAGGACUGGCGUGAUGUUGCUCUUUGUUGAUAGAAAUCAUACUUGCAUAGCUGUUUGAUUGAUUUGAUUAUAAUCAAACUGCACCGUCAUAAUUUUAAUACUGUGAUUAUUCAAAUGAAAAAUGAUCAAAGAAAUACAUGUACCAAAGUCACAUUUAUUGAGAUCAUGAGUAGGCAUAAAAUUCUUGGUCAUUAUGUUUUUACAUUUCUGGGUUGUGUGCAUUUUUAACGAGUUAUAUUGUUUAGCACAGAUAGGGUUCUUUCCUGAACAGAGUGCAUUUGCGUUGAGAUAUCAGAUAGCUGGGAUGCCGGAUAUUGUCCUUCGAGCUGGUGUGCCGGCAAUUUCUUGUUCGUGCCAUCGCGUGUAAUUCCAGUGCCCUGCCGAGGGGCUGUAGCCGGCCAGUCGGAAGCCAUUCUUUUUAGGGCGAUGAUGAUUAACCGUGGCUGAAAUAAGUGUGCCUUUAAGCAAUCGAGGCACCUGUGGGUAUCAAGUUGGAUCCUCCCUCGUGUCUCUAGGAUCCUUUUUGAUCUUGUGAUACCUGUUGUUCUGUCCUUGGAUGGUCAUUCUUGUUGAGUGAUAACCAGGGCAGCUCAACUGUAUAAACAGAUUGAUCUGGUGAUAAGAGAUGAUGGGGUAGGUAAUAUGAUUGAGGAAAGGCGAAUCUGAGCCCACUAUGCAAUGGACCCUGAACCCUUUUUAUUUGGUUUAAAGGUGUUGCUUAUUUAUGCUCCGGUGUUUAUAGUCGUCUUAUGUAUAGAUCUCUUCUCUCUUAUAUCUUUAUUGCAUAUAAGUUGUUCUUGAUCUUUUAUUGUUUGUUGUUGGUCCUUAAUUUAAUCUGGUUAAGAGUAAGUUGGUCCUUGAUUUAAUCUGGUUAAGAGUAAGAGUAAGUUCCAUAUAAGUUGUUCUUGAUCUUUUAUUGUUAUACUUGAUUUAAUCUUUUAUUGUUUGUUUCCAAAAAUAUGGGUUGUCGCUUCAUAUGUUGCUUUUGAGAAGAUGUAUUUUCUUUUCCUUUUAGUCUGGUGAAAUAAUUGUGUUGAUGUCAAGGCAGUCCAUGCUGGUCCAUUCCAAUUUACCAUUUUCGUAAAGUGAGAUGGAUUUUUCAUGGCCCGGUGGUGGUUGCUUUGUUUCACAUUUCCAGAUACACAUGUGGUGGUGUUCUUACUGCAUAUGUGAUAAUGCCAGGGAUUUUAGCUAAUUAGCAAUGUUUAUAUCUCUGUAGUUUCUUAAUUUCUAUAUUUGAAGAUGGCCUCAGUUGGUCGGAACGCAGAUAUCUUAAUAUGCUGAUUAGUUUUUGAGAUGUUCGUUCAAGAAUAAAGAUGGCAACUUUUGGGGGCAAGGUUAUUUUAAAGUCUGAUGAUUGCUAUGUCGUGCAAGAGGGUGUUGAGCUGAUAGGUAAUUGCAGGAGUCGAUGAUAUGUAUAUUCCAGCACCUUUACUCAAGGUAACUUAUUUAUCUUUAUAACCGAGUACAUCAACUGAAUUUUUCCCAUGGCAAGCUAGCUUCAACUGUUCCUGUUUGAUUAUGUCGUUUAUUAGUAGUUGUAUAAUAGUUAAUGGUGUGGUCAGUGCCAUCUAGCAUCAUAUUCUACCUAUGGUGUUGAAAUUCAGUUUGCAAAGAGUUGAAUAGUGGAGUACUGUCAAAACUGCACUGCUCACUGAAAACAAUGGAGUAUUCACUCAAAUUUUUGUGUCUCAGUUUAAGUUACAGAUCACGAAUACUCCAUGGAGUAUCAUGGAGCAGUACAGUACUGAGAACAUCUUCAUAAAUGAAUUUUCACAGUUUUUAACUGUAUUUAUAGGACUACAUAGCACACAAAUAAGAACAUCUGCACAAAUAUGGUGUUAAUGUAGUGUUAUGCAUUUCUUUAUCAAUCAUCCUGAUGGCGUCGUGUGGACAUGUGGUAGCACUGAAUAAUGAAUUUGUGUUAACACUGAAUUUGUGGACAUGUGGAUACUGAAUUUGUGUGGACAUGUAAGCCAUGGAGCAACAACUCAAGGUCAAGCCCUCCAUGGACGAUUCAAUCAAGAUCAAGGUCAGCAUUAGUCUGAAUUUUCUUGAUCAACAGUAAACUGCAGUAGGAUUUUUUCCAAGUUAGUGCUUGCAAGAUUGUUACUUCAACUGAAACAUGAGUGUAUGUUUUCAAAAUUUGCAAAACUGCAGUAAGCAUCAUUCUUGUUUUUUGCAGAACUGAAUUUAUUAGCACCAUUUUGCAUCUUGCCAUUACUCUUGGUCAAAACUGAAUGUUGACAGAGUUUUGGUCAAAACAUUAGAUGAUGUGAGCUUUUUCAGCUAUCCAAAGUUUUAAGAGUACAGUAUUCAUUUCAAAGUUCAUGUAUAAAAUUCAGUUUAACUCUGAGAGGGAAUAAACUACUGUAGUUUACUGCAGUUUAUUGCAUAAUUAUGCACUAUUCGGAGCAAAAAUUCAGUUUACUGCAGUUUAUUGAAUCAAGAUACAGUAGCAAUCAAGCAGAACAUGUACUGUAUUCAUUUCAAAAUUCAGUGUACUGCAGAGUGUUUCAACCAGAACAUGAAUUAAGAUGCAAGAAGCUUCAAGUUGAUAGCAGUCGAUGCAAAAUUGUUCACUUAAACUUCAAUGUUCAGUGGUUAGAACACAAGACCAGAUUUCUUAGGUUUACUGUACACAAGUUGAUUUAGUCCACAAUAUGUUGAUUUGCAUCAGAUGUUCUAGACUGCAAGCAUCAGAGUUGAAGAGGCUAUUAGCAGAACUAAUUUUCGCAUAUUCUUAUUUUUCUUUAAGUAUUUUGUUUUGUUA